UACGAAGGGGCGAGCGUUGUUCGGAUUUACUGGGCGUAAAGGGCGCGCAGGCGGCUCAUUUUGUCAGGCGUGAAAGCCCGGCUUAACCUGGGACUGCGUUUGAUACGGAUGGGCUAGAGUUCGGGAGAGGAGAGUGGAAUUCCCAGUGUAGAGGUGAAAUUCGUAGAUAUUGGGAAGAACACCGGUGGCGAAGGCGGCUCUCUGGACCGAUACUGACGCUGAGGCG
rnacentral:rRNA from 1 species